rnacentral:rRNA from 1 species
AGCAGCCGCGGUAAUUCCAGCUCCAAUAGCGUAUAUUAAAGUUGCUGCAGUUAAAAAGCUCGUAGUUGAAUUUCGGGACCAUCAUGUCGGUCGUGCCUCGGUACGUACUGGCAUUGUUGGUUUCUACCUUCUGACGAACCAUGAUGUCAUCUAUUUGGUGUCGUGGGGAAUCAGGACUGUUACUUUGAAAAAAUUGAGUGUUUAAAGCAGGCUCACGCUUGAAUACAUUAGCAUGGAAUAAUGAAAUAGGACGUUUGAUUCUAUUUUUGUUGGUUUCUAGGAUCGACGUAAUGAUUAAUAGGGAUAGUUGGGGGCAUUAGUAUUCAAUUGUCAGAGGUGAAAUUCUUGG